UACGGAGGGUGCAAGCGGUGUCCGGAAUCAUUGGGUGUAAAGGGUGCGUAGGCUGGCGCCUAAGUCUGAGGUGAAAUCUUGCCGCUUAACGGUAAAAUUGCCUUGGAAACUGGGUGUCUUGAAUCUGACAGAGGUCGGUGGAAUUCGUGGUGUAGCGGUGAAAUGCAUAGAUAUCACGAAGAACAUCAGUGGCGAAGGCGGCCGGCUGGGUCAGUAUUGACGCUGAGGCACGAGAGCGUGGGGAGCGAACAGG
rnacentral:rRNA from 1 species